UCAGACAUGGUGUUGUGGUGACAUGGCCUCUUGAAUUGGAACUGGAGCAAGAAUACACUGUUGGGGCAUUCCGGGGUUCGAUUCCCUGUGUCUGAA